rnacentral:rRNA from 1 species
AACGAACGCUGGCGGCAGGCUUAACACAUGCAAGUCGAACGCAUCCUUCGGGGUGAGUGGCAGACGGGUGAGUAACGCGUGGGAACGUGCCCUUCAGUUCGGGAUAACCCAGGGAAACUUGGGCUAAUACCGGAUACGUGCGAGAGCAGAAAGAUUUAUCGCUGAAGGAUCGGCCCGCGUCUGAUUAGCUAGUUGGUGGGGUAAUGGCCCACCAAGGCGACGAUCAGUAGCUGGUCUGAGAGGAUGAUCAGCCACAUUGGGACUGAGACACGGCCAAAACUCCUCGGGGAGGCAGCGGUGGGGAAUAUUGGAAAAGGGGCGAAAGCCGGACCCGGCCAGGCCGCGUGGGUGAUGAAGGCCUUAGGGUUGUAAAGCUCUUUCGUCCGGGACGAUAAGGACGGUACCGGAAGAAGAAGCCCCGGCUACCUUCGGGCCAGCCGCCGCGGUAA